AUGUAUUUCAUUUAGGAAAAAACAACUUUUCGUAGAAAUGGUAUGGAAUACUUGAAACCCAAUAUUUUUAGAUCGGAAAACUCUCGUUCGCUUCAAGCGGCUUCCAAUAAUAAUACCCAAUUGUUCA